CCCAGUGUAUUCCCACCUAGUGGGGUCUGGGGAGGGUAAGAUGUACGCAGUCCAUACCUCUACCUCUGAUGAAGUAGAAAGGCUGUUUCCGAAAGACCCCCGGCUCAAGGCACGAGAUACCACACAAACACAUAGUAAAGCACAGAAGUAGAUUACAUAACAUAAAUACGGCACCCAUAAGUAAUAUAAAACAGAGGAAAGCAGAGGAAAGCACACAGAUUCAUAAUAAAACAUGGAACACGGGACACGGAUCAUAACAGGAAUAAAAC
rnacentral:lncRNA from 1 species